GUCUAAAGAGUUAGGAAGUUUCCAGAAAGGAAUGGCCACAGCCUCUCAGGGAUUCCCAAGUCCCAGAGGCCCAGAACAUUGGGUGAGUCCUAAAGAGAGGGCCCAUGUGUGAAGCUAUCUGGGCAGAGUUCUUCGGUUCCAAGAGGAGAGGGCACACCAUGCCACACAUGGCCCCGUGGGGAAGCACCAGGUCAGCCCUGAAGAAGAGGAGGAAAUUGUGGGAAGUGGCUAACCCUGGGACGAGCAGUUCCUCCAGGACCAGCGAGGCUCCAGAUGUCAAAGCAUCACAUCCAGACGAUAAAAGACAUGGUCAACGCACCUGGCCAUUUAAAAACAGGGGGCAGGCCAGAUUUGGCCCACGGGCUGCGGAUUGCCAAUCCAUGGGCUAGGAGAACAAAGAUAAUAGCUAAUAUCAAACAUACAAUUAUUAUGAAA